CCAGGUUUUGGGCUGCAGGCUGCUGUCCGCAAGCCUUGGGAGCCCGGCGCGACUUCCCGCCGGGCUCCUAAGGCUUGCGGAUAGCUUCCUGAAGCCUAGAGAGCGAGAGG